AGAGUUUGAUCCUGGCUCAGAGCGAACGCUAGCGGCAUACUUAACACAUGCAAGUCGAACGAGGUGGCAACACCUAGUGGCGAACGGGUGAGUAAUGUACAGGAAUCUGCCCGACGGUGGGGGAUAACCAUUGGAAACGAUGGCUAAUACCGCAUGGUCCAGGGAUGGUAAAGGCGCAAGUCGCCGUCGGAGGAGCCUGUAUCCGAUUAGCUUGUUGGUGGGGUAAUGGCCUACCAAGGCUGUGAUCGGUAGCUGGUCUGAGAGGAUGAUCAGCCACACUGGGACUGAGAUACGGCCCAGACUCCUACGGGGGGCAGCAGUGGGGUAUAUUGGACAAUGGGCGAAAGCCUGAUCCAGUAAUGUCGCGUGAGUGAUGAAGGCCUAUUGGGUUGUAAAGCUCUUUUGUCUGAGAAGAUAGUGACGGUAUCAGACGAAUAAGCACCGACUAACUACGUGCCAGCAGUCGCGGUAAUACGUAGGGUGCUAGUGUUGCUCGGAAUUACUGGGCGUAAAGCACAUGUAGGCGGACUUGUAAGCUAGUGGUGUAAUCCCUGAGCUCAACUCAGGAACUGCUUCUAGAACUGCGAGUCUCGAAUACGAUAGAGGACAGUGGAAUUCUUAGUGGAGGGGUUAAAUCCUUAGAUAUUAGGAAGAAUAUCGAAAGCGAAGGCAGCUGUCUGGGUCGUUAUUGACGCUGAGAUGUGACAGCGUGGGGAGCAAACAGGAUUAGAUACCCUGGUAGUCCACGCCGUAAACUAUGAGUGCUAGGCGUUGGGUCUUCAGUUUACUGGGACUCGGUGCCGUAGCUAACGCGUUAAGCGCUCCGCCUGAGGAGUACGGUCGCAAGGCUGAAACUUAAAGGAAUUGACGGGGGCCCGCACAAGCGGUGGAGCAUGUGGUUUAAUUCGAUGUUGACCGACGAACCUUACCAACUCUUGACAUUGCAGGUUAAGUCGCGCCAGAGAUGGGCGAUGUGGGCAACCUACCUGCAACAGGUGAUGCAUGGCCGUCGUCAGCUCGUGUCGUGAGAUGUUGGGUUAAGUCCCGCAACGAGCGCAACCCCUGUCCUUAUUUGCCAGCGGCUCGGCCGGGAACUAUAGGGAUACUGCCAGUGAUAAAUUGGAGGAAGGUGGGGAUGAGGUCAGGUCAUCAUGUCCUUUAUGAGUUGGGCUACACACAUGCUACAAUGGUACCUACAACGGGCUGCGACACGGCGACGUGGAGCUAAUCCUUUAAAAGGUAUCUCAGUCCGGAUUGCAGUCUGCAACUCGUCUGCAUGAAGUUGGAAUCGCUAGUAAUCGCGGAUCAGAAUGCCGCGGUGAAUACGUUCUCGGGCCUUGUACACACUGCCCGUCAAGCCCUGGAAAUUGAAUCUACUCUAAGCCGGUUCGCUAACUCGAAAGAGAGGCUGCCGUCCACGGUGGGUUUGGUGACUGGGGUUAAGUCGUAACAAGGUA
rnacentral:rRNA from 1 species